rnacentral:rRNA from 1 species
CGCUGGCGGCGUGCCUAACACAUGCAAGUCGAGCGGAUUUCCGGAUUGAAGCUUCGGUAGAUUGAAGGGAAUGAGAGCGGCGGACGGUGAGUAACGCGUAGGCAACCUGCCCUUUGCAGAGGGAUAGCCAUUGGAAACGAUGAUUAAAACCUCAUAAUGCCACGAAGUGACAUCGCUUUGUGGCCAAAGAUUUAUCGGCAAAGGAUGGGCCUGCGUCUGAUUAGCUGGUUGGUGAGGUAACGGCUCACCAAGGCGACGAUCAGUAGCCGACCUGAGAGGGUGAUCGGCCACAUUGGAACUGAGACACGGUCCAAACUCCUACGGGAGGCAGCAGUGGGGAAUAUUGCACAAUGGGCGAAAGCCUGAUGCAGCAACGCCGCGUGAGCGAAGAAGGCCUUCGGGUUGUAAAGCUCUGUCCUUAGGGAAGAUAAUGACGGUACCUGAGGAGGAAGCCCCGGCUAACUACGUG